rnacentral:tRNA from 1 species
GAUAAAAUGGCUGAGUUAAUAGGCAAUAAAUUGUAAAUUUAUGAACGGGAAUAACCUUUUAUCA